rnacentral:rRNA from 1 species
CCUACGGGAGGCUGCAGUGGGGAAUAUUGGGCAAUGGGCGCAAGCCUGACCCAGCAACGCCGCGUGAAGGAAGAAGGCUUUAGGGUUGUAAACUUCUUUUCUCAGGGACGAAGCAAGUGACGGUACCUGCGGAAUAAGCCACGGCUAACUACGUGCCAGCAGCCGCGGUAAUACGUAGGUGGCAAGCAUUAUCCGGAUUUACUGGGUGUAAAGGGAGUGUAGGCGGGACUGCAAGUCAGAUGUGAGAACCACGGGCUCAACCUGUGGCCUGCAUUUGAAACUGUAGUUCUUGAGUACUGGAGAGGCAGACGGAAUUCCUAGUGUAGCGGUGAAAUGCGUAGAUAUUAGGAGGAACACCAGUGGCGAAGGCGGUCUGCGGGACAGCAACUGACGCUGAGGCGCGAAAGCGUGGGGAGCAAACAGGAUUAGAUACCCCUGUAGUC